GUUUUCCUCUCGUUGCACAUGUGACAUGCUGGUAGAAAUGAGGUAAAACGGAUUUAAGUUUGCAUUAAAGUCCCCAGCCACUAGGAGUGCCACUUCUGGAUGAGCAUUUUCUUGUUUGCUUAUAGCCUUUAUACAGCUCGUUGAGUGCUGUCACAGUGCCAGCAUCGAUUUGUGUUGGUAAAUAGACGGCUACGAAUAAUAUAGAUAAGAACUCUCUUGGUAGAUAGUGGUCUACAGCUUAUCAUGAGGUAUUCUACCUCAGGCCAGCAAUACCUCGAGACUUCAUUAAUGUUAGACAUCGCACACUAGUAGAUAUAGAAAUAGACACACCCCCGCCCCUCAUCUUACCAGGCGUAGCUGCUCUGUCCUGCCGAUGCACGGAGAAGCCAGCCAGCUUUAUAUUAUGCGUAGCACCGUCUCGGUGAAACUUAAGAUACAGUUAAUGUCCCAUUGGAAGGAUAGUCUUAAUCGUCCAGUUUUUUUCAAAUGAUUGCACGUUGGCCAAUAAUACGGAGGGUAGUGGUGGUUUACGUACUCUGUGAAUUCUUACAAGGCACCCCACCCUCCUCUUCCUCAAUCUUUUCUUCACGUGGAUGACAAGAUUUGGGCCUUGUCGACAAAGCAGUUAAUCCUUCGGUCGGACAUAUUGAAGAAAAAAAUCUUUCUCCAGGUCGAGGUGAGUAAAUGCUGUUCUGAUGUCCAGAAGCUCUUUUCGGUCAUAAGAGACGGUAGCAGCAACAUUAUGUACAAAAUGAGUUGCGAAAAAAACUAACAAAAUAAUACAGUUGGUUAGGAACCUGUAAAAACAGCAGCCAUCCCCUCUAGCACCAUUAUCACUUUUACCAGUAUUUACCUGUAAUAAUGGAUUUAAUGCUUUUGACCAAUUUACAAUUUUAUAGUCUUCUGGAUAGUUUACCUGAAUGUGUGUUAGCAGCUGGAGCAGAAGGCCAGCUGUGAGGGCCUAAUGAGGCAGGGCCGGCAGGCUGUGGAACAGUACUUCCAAUAGAGGCUUUCAUGGGGGCCCUGGACACCGCAAGCGUAGAGGUGUUUCUGGCCUACGAUCCACUCGUUGAGGCUGGAGCUGCAGGAGGAGCAGCUGGACCUGUUGUCUCUGGGCUCGGCUGUGGAGGACAAAGACUCUCCCCUGGUCUUACCGGAGAAGUUCUACCUGUUCUGGGAGGUGGAGGUACUGGUAAAUCCACCCUUGCCCAAAGUCCUAUCCCUCUCCAUCAUCCUUGUGCUGCUGAGUACCAUCGAAGGGCUGGUGGAAGAGCUGGUGCCUCGGUUCUUCUGCUGUGCCAAGCCCACCAUUCUGGUGACGGUUCUUGAGGCAGGGAGUCACCCUGGAGGCUGGGCCCAUGAUCUGUUGCUGCAGCUCCAGCCCACUCCCCCUGUGGUGCUCCUGCUGGCCGUGUGGGUGAAUCCUGUUGGGGGAGCAUCUCUGGGCUUCUCCCUGCUGUCCAAGCUUAGAUGGUACACGGCCUAAGAAGCGAACUGACCGCCUCACUAUGGGAGACAGCAGGCUUCGUGUACGCACAGACAGUGGAGGUGCAGCUCUUCUCCACACUGGGGGAGAACACAUACCAACA